UACGAAGGGGGCUAGCGUUGCUCGGAAUCACUGGGCGUAAAGCGCACGCAGGCGGAUUGUUAAGUCAGGGGUGAAAUCCUGGAGCUCAACUCCAGAACUGCCUUUGAUACUGGCGAUCUCGAGUCCGGGAGAGGUGAGUGGAACUGCGAGUGUAGAGGUGAAAUUCGUAGAUAUUCGCAAGAACACCAGUGGCGAAGGCGGCUCACUGGCCCGGUACUGACGCUGAGGUGCGAAAGCGUGGGGAGCAAACAGG
rnacentral:rRNA from 1 species